AUGAUCGUCAGCACUCUGAUUCUCCUCUUCACUCUUCCUGCUAUUUCAUCUCCUCCGUCCCUCGUUCUGCUGGCUCCCUCUCCGUCUCUCUCCUCAGGUGAUGAAGUCAGGGUGGUUUGUCUGGCGCAGGGUUUCCGUCCUGACGGCGCCACCCUGUCCUGGUCUGAUAACGGCGACGCUGUAGCGGGUGCCGAGGUGCAGACGAGCUCGUCCGAGCGUCAGUCUGACGGCACCUUCAUCCAAAGCAGCAUGCUGAAACUCAGCCCAGAGCGCUGGAGCUCCGGACGAACCUACACGUGCCACCUGAACCACCCGGCUCUGUCAGCACCGCUGAGUCAGAGCGCCAGCGCUGAAAAGUGCAGCUAGACGGCUGGAGAAAUGGAUGCGCUGCACGUGUAGUAAUGUGGUCAUCGGCAUGGAGAGAGGAGAAAGUGAUUCGAUCAUACGUUUUCUGAACAGCUGCUUUGCUUCAUGUCUCAGUGUUUUCUACUCUGAGGUUUGCUGUGUUUCUGCUUGUUUUUAGAGACCAUGUGGAAUAUUUCAUGUUCCUGUAGAUGCUUUGCUAAUCACAACAGUUUUCCCCCAAUAAAAUGAUGAUAAGAGAAAA